rnacentral:lncRNA from 1 species
GUCAAAUUUUUAUAUUCAACUAGAUGAUUACAAGAUUAUUAAGCUUGUUGAGCUUGUUCAUCAUUAAUAAGCAGAGAAAGGCGAAGAUGCUUACAACAUGCUUAAAAAAGAGUCAGGAGCUAUGUCAUUCAUGCAUACAAAGAAGCUAUGAAGCCUUUCCAUUAUUAUAUCUAUGCUUGAUGUUGGGAAUCUAAGUAAGUAUGCUAUCCACAAGUUUCUUUGCAAUAUUUAGCAAAAGUUGUAUAUAAAAGGUCUCCAACAAAAUACGCUCGAUUCUUAGUUAAGAUAGUAGCCCUUUUGUUUAUUUGCAUUCCCUUCUGCUUUCCUUGUCCCUAUUUUUCUGCUCUUCUACAAAGUUAUAUUUUUUUUUGUCAAAACCAUAAUUAAGAACUUAGAAGAAAUAUAACAUAACCACCAUAGAACUAUGAGAGUUCUUCCAUUUUUUAAUAAUUUAUUGGAGGUUAGAACUUAGUCGAAGAGAAUUUAGUAGAGAUAAUAUUGUAGUUGAUAUAAAUAUUUUGUAUAAUUUGCUAUUAAAAUGAUUUGGCUUCUUUUUAUAAUUUACUCUUCUUAUAAAUAUUUAUUUAGAUAUAAUGUCUAUAUUUAAUCAAAAUUUACAAUGGAAAUUUUAUUAACAACAUAAUUUGAUAUUAGAUAGAAAAAUUUAUAUAUCUAUAUAUAUAAGAGCAAAAUUCAACUACUUAAAACCAUUGCAUGUGCUAAAAAGAUUUCAAAUUUCUUCAAAAAAAAUUACUAUUUCCUUCUUUUAGUGAAGAACUGUAUUCUUUAGUUAUUGAACAUAUGUCACACAAACCUUAUUUACAACAAUUUUCAAAGGUGUACUCUAAUCCAUUAAAGUGUCUUUCUUUUAGAAACACCUGAUGGUAACAUACCUUUUCCUACCUUUGUAUUCAAAUAUGUAGAUAUAUAAAAUAAAUAAAUACUUGACAGCUUUCAAUUUCUUUUUGACAAGUUCAUUCUCUGUUCCAU